CAGUCGCCACGGGAACACGAAGGGUGCAAGCGUUACUCGGAAUUACUGGGCGUAAAGCGUGCGUAGGUGGUGGUUUAAGUCCGUUGUGAAAGCCCUGGGCUCAACCUGGGAAUUGCAGUGGAUACUGGGUCACUAGAGUGUGGUAGAGGAUAGUGGAAUUUCCGGUGUAGCAGUGAAAUGCGUAGAGAUCGGAAGGAACAUCUGUGGCGAAGGCGACUAUCUGGGCCAACACUGACACUGAGGCACGAAAGCGUGGGGAGCAAACAGGAUUAGAUACCCCUGUAGUCCCUGUCUCUUAUAC
rnacentral:rRNA from 1 species